GUGACUUGAGUUCGAAAGGAGAUACUUCCUGGACAACUGCUAUAAAAACAACAACAAAUACUUUUAUUAAUUCGGGGAGCCUGGUCACCAACUGGAUGCUCAGGGGAGAUGGAACCCUGAGCAGCCCAUGUACAUGGAAGAUCUUUAUUGCAGAGAUCUUCAAACCAGAUGGCUCGCAGAGAUUGAGGAACUUGCCCAAGGCUACGCAGCUUGAAACUGAGGCUAAAGAGUUUAGUAUUCUGCCAAGGCCAGCUAAUAGUUACAGAGCAUGGUUCCAAAUUCAGAGCUGUCGGAAGCUUAAGCCCAUGUGAUGAACCACGAAUGUGAUUUUACCUCAUUUAAGCCUUGCAGCAAACUCUGCCAACUAGUGUGCAUUUACUCCUGCCUCUCCAUGCCUGAAGGAAGGAAUGAAGAGGUCUCUGCUGUCCAUCUGAGCCAGUGACUGGGCUGUCUCUACCAGGCCAGAAUUUGGGGCAGGCAAGAUUUUCAGCAUCCCUAAAAUCACACUAAGAAGAUAAACAUGGAAACAGCUUGGAGCUGCCCUACCCAUAGUGAGGUGGUACUGACUGGAAGACAGCUUAAACGAUUUGGAGAAAAGUGGAAUACAUUAAUCUCAGAAAACUCUACCACCUGUAGAAAGAGAGCUAAAAUGGAGACAACCACAGGCAGUCUAAGAUACGCUGAACUACUACAGAAAAUAAUGCAGCAUGAAGGAAUGCUGGAAGGUAUGGGGUCAGAGCAAGCUGAUGGAGGGUCCUUCAUUUCCAAGCCACGAGUACAGCAGGAUGUAAGGCUUAGUUCAUAAGAACAUCUCCUGAAAGACAAUCUCUAUAAAAACUGUUUCAAUAGAAAGAAUGCAAGAUGUAACUGUUUAAUAAUAGGACUGAUAUUUUAAAAAACAAAUGAACGUAAUAGAAGACUAGAUGGAUGUGCUUCUCAAAGUCCUCUCUGUGGGAGGCUUCAUCCUCACUCUAGAUGUGUUGCCUGUAGCAGCUGUUAUUGAUUACCCGCCCAUAGCCUAUCCAUACUUACUCAUCAUUCCUUUACCUACCAGUGGCAUCCUAUUGGAAGCACCUGCGACUUUCUUAGGGCUUUCUCUUGGCCAAGCAUUGGAAGGCCAGCAGUAUUGAAAAGUUAAUAGUCUUGGAAGCACUGGCCCUCAACUAAUGACAAA
rnacentral:lncRNA from 1 species